rnacentral:lncRNA from 1 species
UCUCUUUGAAUUUUGAAUUUUGAAUGUGCAAGACUUGAGGUGGCAUGUGUGUCUCUUUGACUUCCUUGACAAGCUGAAUUUGAAUUUCAAAUUUGAAUGUGUAUCUUCUAGAGAUUUGGCUUCUUCAAUAAGGAAAGGGAUUCUUGAAGAUUUGAAUUUCAAAUUGCUCUGCACUUUCCUUGUUUGCAACUUUCCUUAUUUGGCACUUUCCUUAUUUAGUUGAAUCUUGAAUUUUGAAUGCUCUUGGAGAUUUGAAAUUUAAAUUUCAAAUUACUUUCCUUAUUUGUCUCCUCUUCAGUUGCAACUUGGCAUGCUUGCUCUCCUUUGUUCCUUUUUAGGCAGUUUUAAGGGCAUUUUCUCCAAAUUACCUCUUUACACUAUUUUCUGCAGAAUAAGAUAAAAACCACAAAAUUAGGCAGAAAAAGUGUAAAUUAACAUCAAUAACAUCAUGAAAAAGUGGUCUAAAUUUGGACUGAUCAAAUACCCCCACACCUAGCCUUUUGCUUGUCCUCAAACAAAUAAACUUAGUCAAACAAGCUCUCUUUGCUACUUGAUCCUUUAUUUCCACUUAAGC